CGGCCUCAGCCCCCAGGUCCUCUAGAACACCCUGGUCAGCACACUGCAGCCUCAGCCCCCAGGUCCUCUAGAACACCCUGGUCAGCACACUGCAGCCUCAGCCCCCAGGUCCUCUAGAACACCCUGGUCAGCACCACAGCCUCAGCCCCCAGGUCCUCUAGAGCACCCUGGUCAGCACACCGCAGCCUCAGCCCCCAGGUCCUCUAGAGCACCCUGGUCAGCACACCGCAGCCUCAGCCCCCAGGUCCUCUAGAACACCCCGGUCAGCACCACGGCCUCAGCCCCCAAGUCCUCUAGAACACCCCGGUCAGCACC